UCAAACAUAUCAAAUGUCACUUUGGUCGAUUUCUUUUCUACAGUACCACUUGUUUGCUCCCUUCCUUCUCUGUAAAAUUCUCAAUGUCCUCUCCGAUAGAAAACCUCAAAUCUCUCAAAUCAUAAAAUGUGAACCAUAUGGUAGAGCUAUAAAAGCCCUAAUUACAAAUUGUGACUCUAUCAGAGGAACCGACAGUCGUCUAAAGCUAAAGAAGGAAGGAAGAAAGUUUGAAGUUUGAAAAUCAUUGCGAGGACUCAAAUUGGAAGAAGAGCGUGAACAAAUGGCUGAGGAGUUACAAAGGAAUAUACAACAUAGUGCAAAGGAAAUUGGAAAAAGAGUUGCAGAAGAAGUUGGAGGCUGAGCAUGAACACGUGAAUGCAGAAGUAGAUAAGAGGAUCUAAGAACAAUUGGCUACUAUCAUAACCAAAAUGCAACAUGUACUGUUAAUAUUUUGUACUCUUCUUGACAAUUGGCUACUAUCUAAGAACAAUUGGCUUCAUGAAUCUAUUUGUUUGAAAUAUAUGUAAUGCUAACAUGAGGUGAUAUGUUACUAGAAUUAUAUGUAGUUUCUCUCUCUGAUUUUGAGGCAUAUCUUAUAUGUAGCUUAUCUUUAAUUUUGAGGCAUCUCAUAUAAAGACAUCUCUUAUA